UGGUGAAUGAGUUAAAUUGCUAAAAAUUGUUUAUUUGGAUGCGAUGACCAUAUUAUUGAUUACUACAUGAUUUUGGAUGGAGAUGUUGUAAACAUAACAGAGAUUAGGUUGCUAUAUUACUAUUCGGACCUGUCAGGCUAGUACUAGAUUUGCGGUAAUAAUUUGGAAUGCACAAACAGACUUCAUGGUAACAAAGUGGAAUUCCGUCGACACACUUUAUUAGACUUCUGCACUCUAUGCUUGUCGUACACUUAAAACUUCCCAUGCACAACGACACACCUGCAAUAUGAAAAUAACAUAUAUUAACUAGCAUAAUUAGUAUUGAUGAAUAUUAUAAAAUUAAUAUUUUUGAACUUAUAUAUAUAAAUUUUGACAUUAUAUCAGAACAUUUGACCAUGCCAACGGGUGAGUUUUAAAUCCCAUCUUGUUGCACGAGACUUAUUGAAAAUGGUGCACACUCUAGACUUUUUCAUGGCUUAUUAGAUGAAUAUGUAGCAAUUACUAACAUGAUGAUACCACGAGAAGAAUGCAAAAAAUUGGAACUGUUCUCAUGUGUAGAUUUCCCAUUCUUCUUGGAAGUGUAAUUUGGCUUUUGUGGUGUGGUGUGAUGUUAUGAUGCUAAUGAAUUGGGC
rnacentral:lncRNA from 1 species